rnacentral:misc_RNA from 1 species
AUAAUAAGACAUCUACCGUACUGAAAGUAGUGAUGUUGCUAUGGCAACAAUAUAAUAUACUUGUGCUACAAAAUAUCUAGUCAACGUUCUCUAGCAACAGAGUAUAACCAAUAGCAACAAUGGCAGAAUUGAUAAAUUUACCUCCUCUGAAGACAGAAACAAUCCAAAAUGAUGCACAUAGAGAUAAUGAAGUUAUGAGAGCAAUCCUUGAACGAAUAUCAAAAAACCUCGAAGACAAUACGAAAGCAAUAAAAGCACUAGCCAAGAGUGGUAGUGCUAGCCUAGGAAGAGAUGGCUCUGCAAUUAGUAAGAAACCCAACAAAGAUAUUGAUGAAAUCGAACGAGAAGACAAGGUACCAGUGGAAAUCAGAGUAUGUUUUCUGAAGAUCGUGGAUGUAAACACCCUUAAGCAAGUGUUUGUGGCAGACAUAUUCAUACAGGCCAAAUGGACGGAGCCAGAAUUAAAUAAUAAAACAGACAGUGAACUGGAGGAUUUAGACGUUGAAGAGUGUUGUUGGACUCCGAAGAUUCUGGUGAGAAACAUUGAUGGGGAACCUGAUGAAAUCACUACUUGGUACAGAUGUCGACGGGAUCCCGAAGGUGGUCACCCUGUAGUGUAUCAAAGACAGAGAAUAAAAGGAACCUUUAUCGAGACUCUGGAAUUGAAAGACUUUCCCGUGGACGUUCAGGAAUUGACCCUCCAGGUAUCGACAGAGAGAUCAGAAGUGGAGGUUGAGUUGAUGGAAGAUAAGAAAGAGUUGUCUUCAAUAAACGUGGACACAUUCAUGGACCAACAGGAAUGGAACGUCUAUGAGCACGUAGAAUCAGAGUUAGUCCCCACUACGACUGAAUUUAGUAAUUCCAAGUUCAAGCAUCCCAAAUUAAAUCUCAUGUGUCAUGUUAGUCGGAAACCUGGCUAUUUCUUCUGGAACAUUUUUCUCAUCAUGUUUAUGAUCACAAGUCUGACGUUCGUCGUGUAUGCAAUCGACAUUGAGGUCCCCCAAGGACGACUUAACGUGAAUCUCACCCUCCUUCUUACAGCCGUUGCCUUCAAAUUUGUCUGUGCACAGAAUCUCCCCACGAUAUCAUACCUCACUUUUCUGGACAUCUAUAUCCUCACCUGUAUGGUGUUCCUCGUCAUUCAAGGGACUAUGGUUGCCGUCAUUACCGUAUUUUCCAAUAACGGGGACACUGAAACGACGGCCAUUGUUGAUAUGUACACCAUGUUCAUUCUACUUGGAUGUCACGUGUUGUUUAAUCUUACAUUUGGGUUAUUCAUGAUCAUCUCGAGGUACAGACGAAACAGGGAGAUGGAAUCGAAAGACAAACUGUAUCUGGAAUGCAAAAAUCACAAAGACAUCGAGGCUGAGAAAUCGCGGUUGAAGGCCGGAAAGAGGACAAAUAGUGUUCAACCAAUCAACGAUAUUCAACCAAUCAACGAUGAGAAAUACCUUCUCGCUACUGAUGCUGUUUAGGAAUUAAAAGAAUCAUUGGAACUUUCAUACUAGAUUUAGUCCCGGGAUUUAGUCCAUACCAAUGGAAGAAUCAUUGGAAUCAUUGAAACUAGAAAACAGCAUGUCCACGGAGUAGCAAAUCCCACCGAACAAAACGUGUUUUGAUAAAUAGCGGCCAUCUUGAUAAUUAUUUUUGAACAGAACUCCUUUUUUCCACGUUUCAGCAUAUAAACUUUGAACCAAGUCCUUCUGCUGAUAUUUGAGUUAUCAAAGUUUAUGUUUUUACUCAAAAUGAUGGCCGUUUCAGCUGCCAUCUUGAUGAUACUUUCUUGACCAGAGUUCCUUUGUCCCAAGGCAUCAGCGUAUACAAUU